GAUGAAGAACGCAGCGAAAUGCGAUAAGUAAUGUGAAUUGCAGAAUCCAGUGAAUCAUCGAAUCUUUGAACGCACAUUGCGCCCGCCAGCAUUCUGGCGGGCAUGCCUGUUCGAGCGUCAUUUCAACCCUCGACCUCCCUUUGGCGAAGUCGGCGUUGGGGACCGGCAGCACACCGCCGGCCCUGAAAUGGAGUGGCGGCCCGUCCGCGGCGACCUCUGCGUAGUAAUCCAACUCGCACCGGAACCCCGACGCGGCCACGCCGUAAAACACCCAACUUCUGAACGUUGACCUCGAAUCAGGUAGGACUACCCGCUGAACUUAAGCAUAUCAAUAAGCGGAGGA
rnacentral:misc_RNA from 1 species